rnacentral:rRNA from 1 species
UACGUAGGGGACCGAGCGUUGUCCGGAAUCAUUGGGCGUAAAGAGCGUGUAGGCGGCUUGCUAAGUCUUGCGUGAAAUCUCGGGGCUCAACCCCGAGCGGUCGUGGGAAACUGGCAGGCUAGAGUGCGGGAGAGGAGAAUGGAAUUCCUGGUGUAAGCGGUGAAUGCGCAGAUAUCAGGAAGAACACCCGUGGCGAAGGCGGUUCUCUGGACGCAACUGACGCUGAGACGACGAAAGCGUGGGGGAGCAAACAGG